rnacentral:tRNA from 3 species
GUGAGGGUGGCGGAAUUGGCAGACGCGUACGUUUGAGGGGCGUAUGGUUAUCCGUGUGGGUUCAAGUCCCAUCCUUCACACCA